GACGAACGCUGGCGGCGUGCUUAACACAUGCAAGUCGAACGAUGAUGCCCAGCUUGCUGGGUGGAUUAGUGGCGAACGGGUGAGUAACACGUGAGUAACCUGCCCCUGACUCUGGGAUAAGCGUUGGAAAUGACGUCUAAUACUGGAUAUGACUACCGGCCGCAUGGUCUGGUGGUGGAAAGAUUUUUUGGUUGGGGAUGGACUCGCGGCCUAUCAGCUUGUUGGUGAGGUAAUGGCUCACCAAGGCGACGACGGGUAGCCGGCCUGAGAGGGUGACCGGCCACACUGGGACUGAGACACGGCCCAGACUCCUACGGGAGGCAGCAGUGGGGAAUAUCGCACAAUGGGCGAAAGCCUGAUGCAGCAACGCCGCGUGAGGGAUGACGGCCUUCGGGUUGUAAACCUCUUUUAGUAGGGAAGAAGCGAAAGUGACGGUACCUGCAGAAAAAGCACCGGCUAACUACGUGCCAGCCGCCGCGGUAA
rnacentral:rRNA from 1 species